rnacentral:rRNA from 1 species
UACAGAGGGUGCAAGCGUUGUUCGGAAUUAUUGGGCGUAAAGCGCGUGUAGGCGGCAUUAUAAGUCGGGUGUGAAAGCCCUCAGCUCAACUGAGGAAGUGCGCCCGAAACUGUAAAGCUUGAGUGUCAGAGAGGAUGGCGGAAUUCCCCAAGUAGAGGUGAAAUUCGUAGAUAUGGGGAGGAACACCGGUGGCGAAGGCGGCCAUCUGGAUGAUAACUGACGCUGAGACGCGAAAGCGUGGGUAGCAAACAGG